rnacentral:lncRNA from 9 species
CCGCCGCCGCUGUCGCUUGCCGGCGCUGCCAUGGCAUGAUCCGCCCCUCAUCAGGGUUAAGGGCGGGGAGGAGGCGCUUCUGCCUCCCCCCACUGGCUGCUGUCGCCUGACGGGGGAGGCACUGCUGGCUGGGCCGGGCGGGGGCGUAGCGGCAACCGCCUCCCCCCACUCUCCCAAGGAGGUGCGGGCACCGCGGUCCCUCCCAGUCCCUGGGAGCCUCUCUGCCGUCCCCCUUGGGCCUCUCAAGGAAGCUUCUCUGGCCGCUGUGGAUAUUGGUUUUUGUUGGACUUGGAAUUGGGAAUUGAGGGCGACUGGGGGACGCCGGGACAGAGGGCGAUGCAGGAGCUCACCGGUGAUGUAAUGCGGACCCGCACAGGGAGGGGAAGCAGCAGCCUCAGCAGUGGCGGCAGCGGUGGUUCUAGUCUUCGUGAAAAUCGUGAUCUCAUUUCUCUGUCCAAGGGCGAAGGCCGGUCGUCACCAAGACAUUUGCACUUUCCGCUUUUAUUAGCAAAGCCCAGCUGCUUUGGCAGCCCGGCAGCGUUCUUCUCAGGGUGGAAGCCGAGGGAUGGCAUCUUCCUUUCACCAUUUGGAAGAAAUUUUGGAAUGAACAAUACCUUUUCUCCCUCUGAAAUACUGCUUCCUGAGCUUUAAGGAGGCAUAGCCAGAUCUUGCUGAUUUCCUGACGCUGACCACACGGGAUGGAGGCUGGUCCUCACCCUAAGAAGAGAGAGCCUCCCCAACCCCAAGAAGGAAGGGAAAGAGGAUGGCUCUCUGGGUCCCUGUGAGAUGGGAAUGUUCCCACUUUCUCUCUGGAUUCUCUGCAAAAGACAGCAAGAUACCCCAGGGGAUAUUGGUGGAAAAGAUGAAUGCAUAGGAAUCAAGCUGAAGGAAGAGAAAGAAGGAAAGAAAAGAAACCAGUGAAGCACAGAUGUGCAGACCAGAGGAGGAAUUGUCCUAACUAUUGUUCCUAUGACAAUUGAAAAUAAAUGUAGUUUUUACUC